GUAACAUACAACUACUUCAACAUUGAUGCUAUGAAGGCACCCAUAUGCUGAUAUAGAUUUAUAUUUUAUGCAAAAGAUAUGAGAAACACUUACUGAUGUGGCAUUUAAAUUAUUAUAGAAUUUAGUCAUCAUUAAAUUUGUUGAAAUGCCAUUUAAGAUUUUGAAACAUUUUUUUAGCAAAGGAAAAUUUGAUUUUUCACUCUCUCCUGCAUUCUGUAUCGCUUCUUUCUCAUGUUUUAUGUAUAAAACAUGGUCCAUCAGCAUCUAGGUGCUUUUGCACAUGCAUGUUCUAUGCUAGCCAUAAUUGACAGUUUGACACCAGUGUUAAAAAUUGAUAUUUGGAGUUUGGACCAACAUUUUGAUUUUGGGUCAUUAGACCUAAAUUCAAGUAUUUAGGUUCUAUCA
rnacentral:misc_RNA from 1 species